UUAAAAGCCUUUCUAAGUAGCUGCCUGUCCUUUUAGGACUGGAUGUAGGUUUCUGCCUCUCUUUUUGGCCCUGGCAUUGCUGGCCCCAACCACAUUCCUGAUUGCCCGGGAAGAACAGCCUUUGAAAUUCAACAUCUGCUUCUGGGUAGUUGGUUGAACAAGCCCACCUGACCAAGAGAGGGAAGCACGCUAACUGUUUUCAGUUUGGACACUCUUGGGGGCUUUUUAGUAAUUGCAUGUGUUUCUGAGCAAGUGAGUGUCUUUUGUGGGUACCAGACAACAGGAUUGCUCCUCUCAACUAGGGACAGUCUGAAGAAUUUUGGUGUGCAAAUUCAUCAAGCUCACCCCAUGGAAAGAGGAAGCUCCGCUGUUUCAGUUUGGACACUCUUGGGGUUUGUUGGUUGCUGCAGCACUUGGAUUGUAUUUUGGUGAUUGUUUGUGUAUGUCAAUAUAGCCAUGGGAAGUAAGAAUUUGAUAAGCUGAUAAUCUUAUGUAAUACUGUUUGGCCUCAUAUCUUUGAAUCUGGAUAAGUUUGGCCUCUCCAUGUGCCUCGUUUUGCUGCUGAAUGGCAAAGCAGGGUGGAGUUUUGUGUAUUCAGGCUUUUAUGCUGUUGUUCAAAGCAAGGUCAGGCUUGAUUAGUACAUGAUGUUCUUCUGUGGUUUUUUCUGGCUCCAGUCAUCCUUGGAGUGUGGAGAGAUUUAGCCUUUAAAAAUCAAAAUGCCACAGAAACUGCUAUACCCAAAACUUUGGUUCACAACCUUCAUUGGAUUGCCUAUCAGGUCAAAAGAAGUUUAGCCAUGUGAACGUGUUCAUAAGCCUGUGAGUUUGUAUUGGUAUCUCAUGGCUAGAGUUCCAAGGUAAAAGUUAUUGGAUCUUUGUUUGCAUGUAUGUAUAUAUGUUUAGAUGUGUUUACAUGUAUGUAUAUUAUUUCAUAUGUUGUGUCUACCAAAUUGGCUUAUAAAUAAAAGA
rnacentral:lncRNA from 10 species